rnacentral:rRNA from 1 species
CCUACGGGCGGCUGCAGUGGGGAAUAUUGGACAAUGGGGGGAACCCUGAUCCAGCCAUGCCGCGUGUGUGAAGAAGGCCCUCGGGUUGUAAAGCACUUUCAGUGAGGAAGAACGCCUGGUGGUUAAUACCCAUCAGGAAAGACAUCACUCACAGAAGAAGCACCGGCUAACUCCGUGCCAGCAGCCGCGGUAAUACGGAGGGUGGCGAGCGUUAAUCGGAAUUACUGGGCGUAAAGCGCGCGUAGGUGGCUUGAUAGGCCGGUUGUGAAAGCCCCGGGCUCAACCUGGGAACGGCAUCCGGAACUGUCAAGCUAGAGUGCAGGAGAGGAAGGUAGAAUUCCCGGUGUAGGGGUGAAAGGCGUAGAGAGCGGGAGGAAUACCAGUGGCGAAGGCGGCCUUCUGGACUGACACUGACACUGAGGUGCGAAAGCGUGGGUAGCAAACAGGAUUAGAUACCCGAGUAGUC